AAUUCAUUUUUAAACAUAUUUCGAUCAAAAUUUUAAGUUUCAUUUAGGCAAUCUAAAUUAUAUUCUGCAGGUUUUUAAUCAUGGCAUGGUUGUGCACAUUUAUUUUAGGCUGUAUUCUUGGCUAUUAUGCCGGUCACAACUCAUUCAACAGCAUUUGACCAAAGAAUCACUUAUAAAGAAGAUUGACUGCACAGUAAAUUCAGCGAUUGUAACAUUAAAUAUUUGAUAUCACAGAAUAUUAUGGAGCAGUUUAUUGACAAAAAUUUUUAAUUAAACAGAUUAUAAAUCGAGCUCUACUGUCACCUUUCAUAUCGUAGUAGGCCACUGCAUUCUGAUUACUUCAUUUUUACUCAAACAUCAAAAACCCCUUUUCUCAUAUUUCAAAUUUUUGGUACCAAUAUUUUAAGAAAUUCCGCAGUGUUUUUUACUUAUAAUGGACUUGGACUGGCUGUGCACAUUUGUUUUGGGAUGUAUUCUUGGCUAUUUGGUUGGCUACAACUCGUAGGUCAAUAUUGAUGGCAAAUUGGUGCGAUUAAUGAAGAUUGACUACAAGGUAAAGAGAGAGCACAACAAGUCACAUAGACUUUGCCUUCAUCGAAUAAAAGCAAUUUAUUCGAUCAAAAUUUAGUCUAUUUUGUAGACAAGCUCUACAAUUGUGCAAUAAAUUUACCUGUAACUUGACAAACGGCUAAUCAUACGAGUAUAUCCAAUAUAACCAUGAGUCACGUUAUAUCUUAUGCACUUGGCUUGAUUACGGGCUUGUUGUUGUGCAAACGGCGUUGCUGACCAUGGUAAUCACAAAAUGGACUUAAAUUCAAGAUUUGGUAUAAGAGAAGAAAAGCCUUCCAGAUAAAAUUGUAAAUAAUAAAAAAUGAAAAAAUA